rnacentral:rRNA from 1 species
CCUACGGGUGGCAGCAGUAGGGAAUCUUCCACAAGGGGCGAAAGCCUGAUGGAGCAACGCCGCGUGGGUGAAGAAGGUCUUCGGAUCGUAAAACCCUGUUGUUAGAGAAGAAAGUGCGUGAGAGUAACUGUUCACGUGUCGACGGUAUCGAACCAGAAAGCCACGGCUAACUACGUGCCAGCAGCCGCGGUAAUACGUAGGUGGCAAGCGUUAUCCGGAUUUAUUGGGCGUAAAGGGAACGCAGGCGGUCUUUUAAGUCUGAGGUGAAAGCCUUCGGCUUAACCGGAGUAGUGCAUUGGACACUGCGAGACUUGCGUGCAGACGCGGCGAGU